rnacentral:rRNA from 1 species
CCUACGGGUGGCAGCAGUGAGGAAUAUUGGUCAAUGGACGAGAGUCUGAACCAGCCAAGUAGCGUGAAGGAUGAAUGCCCUAUGGGUUGUAAACUUCUUUUAUAUGGGAAUAAAAUGUUCCACGUGUGGGAUUUUGUAUGUACCAUAUGAAUAAGGAUCGGCUAACUCCGUGCCAGCAGCCGCGGUAAUACGGAGGAUCCGAGCGUUAUCCGGAUUUAUUGGGUUUAAAGGGAGCGUAGGUGGAUUGUUAAGUCAGUUGUGAAAGUUUGCGGCUCAACCGUAAAAUUGCAGUUGAAACUGGCAGUCUUGAGUACAGUAGAGGUGGGCGGAAUUCGUGGUGUAGCGGUGAAAUGCUUAGAUAUCACGAAGAACUCCGAUUGCGAAGGCAGUUCACUGGACUGCAACUGACACUGAGGCUCGAAAGUGUGGGUAUCAAACAGGAUUAGAUACCCUUGUAGUC